rnacentral:rRNA from 1 species
ACGGGAGGCAGCAGUGGGGGGUAUUGCACAAUGGGGGAGACCCUGAUGCAGCGACGCCGCGUGAGUGAUGAAGUAUUUCGGUAUGUAAAGCUCUAUCAGCAGGGAAGAAAAUGACGGUACCUGGCUAAGAAGCUCCGGCUAAAUACGUGCCAGCAGCCGCGGUAAUACGUAUGGAGCAAGCGUUAUCCGGAUUUACUGGGUGUAAAGGGAGCGUAGACGGCGUGGCAAGUCUGAUGUGAAAGCUAUGGGCUCAACCCAUAAACUGCAUUGGAAACUGUCAUGCUAGAGUGUCGGAGAGGUAAGCGGAAUUCCUAGUGUAGCGGUGAAAUGCGUAGAUAUUAGGAGGAACACCAGUGGCGAAGGCGGCUUACUGGACGAUAACUGACGUUGAGGCUCGAAAGCGUGGGGAGCAAACAGGAUUAGAUACCCUGGUA